UACGAAGGGGGCUAGCGUUGUUCGGAAUUACUGGGCGUAAAGCGCACGUAGGCGGAUCGAUCAGUCAGGGGUGAAAUCCCAGGGCUCAACCCUGGAACUGCCUUUGAUACUGUCGAUCUGGAGUAUGGAAGAGGUGAGUGGAAUUCCGAGUGUAGAGGUGAAAUUCGUAGAUAUUCGGAAGAACACCAGUGGCGAAGGCGACUUACUGGACACAUAUUGACGCUGAGGUGCGAAAGCGUGGGGAGCAACAGG
rnacentral:rRNA from 1 species